rnacentral:rRNA from 1 species
GAGUUUGAUCAUGGCUCAGAACGAACGCUGGCGGCAGGCCUAACACAUGCAAGUCGAACGAGAAGCCACCUUCGGGUGGUGGACAGUGGCAGACGGGUGAGUAACGCGUGGGAACGUGCCUUUCGGUUCGGAAUAACCCAGGGAAACUUGGGCUAAUACCGGAUACGCCCUUCGGGGGAAAGAUUCAUUGCCGAAAGAUCGGCCCGCGUCGGAUUAGCUAGUUGGUGGGGUAAUGGCCUACCAAGGCGACGAUCCGUAGCUGGUCUGAGAGGAUGACCAGCCACACUGGGACUGAGACACGGCCCAGACUCCUACGGGAGGCAGCAGUGGGGAAUAUUGGACAAUGGGCGCAAGCCUGAUCCAGCCAUGCCGCGUGGGUGAAGAAGGCCUUAGGGUUGUAAACCCCUUUCAGCGGGGAAGAUAAUGACGGUACCCGCAGAAGAAGUCCCGGCUAACUCCGUGCCAGCAGCCGCGGUAAUACGGAGGGGACUAGCGUUGUUCGGAAUUACUGGGCGUAAAGCGCACGUAGGCGGAUUUGUAAGUCAGGGGUGAAAUCCCGGGGCUCAACCUCGGAACUGCCUUUGAUACUGCAAAUCUCGAGUCCGGAAGAGGUGAGUGGAAUUCCUAGUGUAGAGGUGAAAUUCGUAGAUAUUAGGAAGAACACCAGUGGCGAAGGCGGCUCACUGGUCCGGUACUGAC